UUUUGGACAAUGGGCGAAAGCCUGAUCCAGCCAUUCCGCGUGAGUGAAGAAGGCCUUCGGGUUGUAAAGCUCUUUCGCAAGGGCAGAAAACUUAGGCGCUAAUAUCGCUUGAGGUUGACGGUACCUUGAUAAGAAGCACCGGCUAACUACGUGCCAGCAGCCGCGGUAAUACGUAGGGUGCGAGCGUUAAUCGGAAUUACUGGGCGUAAAGCGUGCGCAGGCGGUUUUGUAAGUCAGAUGUGAAAUCCCCGAGCUCAACUUGGGAACUGCGUUUGAAACUAUAAGACUAGAAUAUGUCAGAGGGGGGUAGAAUUCCACGUGUAGCAGUGAAAUGCGUAGAGAUGGGAGGAAUACCAAUGGCGAAGGCAGCCCCCUGGGAUAAUAUUGACGCUCAUGCACGAAA
rnacentral:rRNA from 1 species